UUCAACACUUUUGAUAGAAGUAUACAACGUGUUGCAGGUAGGACGCGUUCAUAUACCUUUAUUAAGUAUAAAAUUACUUAUAGUUCUUUAUUUUAUUGCCUUUCGUUAGAUUGAAUGGCAGACGGAAAUAUUAUUUAUUUUUCUUCUUAUAGUGCUGACUACAUGAAAUGGACAAAAGGACCUAAAGUAUAUAGUGAAAUUUUUUUACUACAAGAAAUUUUUAAAUGUGUUAAAUAUAAAAUGACAAAAUCGUCGUAUCCAUAUUGUUAUUGAUGAAUGAAUGUGUUUUCAAUUUAAUUUAAACGAGCUCUUGUUAUAAAAAUUUAAUAAAACAAUAAAAAUAAAAAUGCAAAUUUUUCUCAGAAA